UGUGUAGGUUGCCAGCUCGACAGUGUCCAGCAGCGUGACCUGGAUCAUCCCGUAGGUUUCCGUACCCCGGCUCGGCCAGUACUGGUCACACUUCACCUGCGGGGAGGAGAGGAGAAAGGGUCAGCGUCUGGCCGCUGGCUCAGCAUUUGCAAAGAACUCCUCCAGCUCCGCGGUCUCCAGCCCUGAGCUCCCUAAUGUAAUUUGGUGCCCUGAGCUCCCACCUGCAGAGCGCAGUGCCCGGCUGCAGGCAGGAGGGCUCCAUUCCCACCCACGUGCACUGCACUGAGGAUGGCUGCCUGCCCUGAGAGAGGAGUGAACGGAAGAUCAUCUGUGCUUGUCAAGGAAUAGUAAACUUAAUUAUUAGCUGUGUUUACAGGGGAAUGUGUGGGAAGGGAAACAACGGGCUUAAUUAGAAAUCAAUGAACUUCUGCCUUUUAA